rnacentral:rRNA from 1 species
UGGGGUAUUUUUCGCAAUGGGGGAAACCCUGACGAAGCAACGCCGCGUGGAGGAUGAAGGCCCUCGGGUCGUAAACCCCUGUCCACCGGGAAGAAACCGUCGAGCCGAAUAGGCUGCGGCGUUGACUGUACCGGUGGAGGAAGCUCCGGCUAACUCUGUGCCAGCAGCCGCGGUAAUACAGAGGGAGCAAGCGUUGUUCGGAAUUACUGGGCGUAAAGGGCGCGUAGGCGGCCCCGCAAGUCUUGUGUGAAAUCCCCCGGCUCAACUGGGGAACUGCACAGGAAACUGCUGGGCUUGAGUUCGGGAGAGGGAAGCGGAAUUCCGGGUGUAGCGGUGAAAUGCGUAGAUAUCCGGAGGAACACCGGUGGCGAAGGCGGCUUCCUGGACCGACACUGACGCUGAGGCGCGAAAGCUAGGGUAGCAAACGGGAUUAGAUACCCCCGUAGUCC